CUCAACCCUGGGUUUAGCAGGCCAAUGCUCAAACCACUGAGCUAUCCCUCCCCCAAGGUACAAGAAGCAUGUCAAGGGCAGAUAAAGAAAUUGUUUAUCCUUGCUAUUACAUUAGCUCAACCUUCCCGACUGGAGUUGCUAGAUGUCUAGACCACUCCUCACAUUGGAAAGGUUAUGGGCGAAGAUCACCUGUUGGAGAGCAAGACCAUGCUCUGGUAAACUUGGGACAUGUCACUUUCUAAACAUGCAGCCUCUGCCUUUCUCUGUGACUUUGUCCUUUUUCUCCAUACUCCUGUAAUGUCUGAGCAGACCUCAGAAUAACUUGAGUUCAUUACAAACCAAUAUUUAAAUGUGUUCAAAAUUGCCCCUUGUACAGGCCCAGUUGCUUUUUCUAGUUUUCACAUGCGCAUAGAAAUAAGUAGUGAGGUAUACUCCAUCUAUCUAAACUAAGCCUGAUGCUAAGGGCUUCAUCUGUCCUUUCCUUGGAAUAGACAUUUUAUACGUUCUGUACAACUUCAGCCUCGUGGGUUAACUAACUUAAUUUGUGUUUUGGAAGCAUGUUGUAUUAAGAGACAAAAUCAACAGUAAAGUCAAUUGGUUCCAGUACUAAUGUUUAUCUUUGUUUCUAGGUUGUUGGCAAGAAUAUUAGAGCGAGAUUAUUUUUACAUAGCAAAGGUUUUAAAAGGGACAGAGGAAGCUGCAUUUCCAAUUCAUCCUCAGUAUAUGGAUAUAUUUAAUGACACCUCCAUCCACUGGUUUCCUUUACAAAAACUCAAGGAGCUCCCACCAGAAGCCUGGCAGUUUCAGGAAGAGCCCGUGUACCCGGAAUGUGAUGACCUGGAGAUUAUCAGGAAAUAGGACAAAUGGAGUUGUUUCAUGCUUUAAAUGGAACCUUUAAUUACUCCCUGGAGUUUGUGCCUGUUUUUACAGGGCUACAUUCACUUACAGUAAGGGGAUGUUAAGCUCACUUACCACAACUAUCAAUAUAAAGUGGGGGCUGGCUAACAUAUUUAGCCAGAAAUCUUGAAGGCAGCAGCAGUGUCUGCAAACAGAGCUUAAUGCGACAGGUUUUUCUCAGAGGUAGUGAUUUUUUUUUUAAUCUGUACCUUAGCUUACACUAUUUAUUAUUCACUAAAUAAAGUCAUACUAGUUCUUUUUC